rnacentral:tRNA from 1 species
GGAGGCAUCGUCUAGUGGUAGGAUAGCGCCUUUACACGGCGCGGGCCUGGGUUCAAUUCCCUGUGCCUCCA